UGAUGAUGUAACAUCAAGUGUACAUGCCAAGAAAAUUAUCUCAUCAAAUAUAUAAUUCUCCUGAAAGAGGGCUUUCUCCAUGGUUAUAGAUUUAUCAGGGAAAAAUGAAGUUCAUUUUGAAGAGCAUGAGUGUUGAUUAGACAGGGAGUGGAGUGGCUUUAUUAUUCCCUUCUCAAACCAGAUUCAUUAGAGAACUGAGGUCAAAGGACAAAUCACCACACUGCAAUGCAGAAAGACAAGCAUAUCCAGAGAGAGAGAAGCAGGAUCUACUUACCUAAAA